rnacentral:lncRNA from 7 species
AGAGUUAACUGAAUUUUUUGUAUGUUGAAUAGAUUAUCUCAACCAUUGUGCCUACAAGAACCAAGCAUUGUCAAUUCCCAGAAGAAAAAUAUUAUAUUUUCAUAUAUGUUGUUGGACUAGGUCAUAUAACCUGGUUUACGUCCACCUAUUGGAUCUAAAUGAUGGAAACCACUUAUCAAUACUAUUACGACUUGGCUUCCUCUAGGCUUUAGAUGAUAAUUAGAAAUGAUUUCAGAUAUAGAAUAUCUAUGUAUUGGUUUAUAUAGAGAGUGAUUCCUGAGAUUUUGAUGGUUUGGGGUUCUAACAUUGAUUUGUGGUCGAUUUGUUAUAUUAUUUAACUUUUCUUUUUUUCUUGAUUUUUGGACAUAUAGUUUCCGAUUAUUCAGUGGUACGUUCUGCAUCCUUCCAUCCUAAAUUAUAAACUAUUCUAACUUUUUCAGAAAGUCAAAACAUGAUAUAAAGUUUGAUUAAUAUCAUACAAAACAAAGCAUUGCAUGAACAAACAAACAUAUGGAGAACUCUUGCUCUCGCGAGUCCACACUGGGCUGGCAAACAGCCACAAGAAAAUACUCACCUCAAGGCAUGUUUCGACUUUCGAGAGCAAGGGAAUUAAAAGAGAUUGACAGAUCUCUUUCUAUUCAAAAUUAAAUAGCAAAGUAUUUCCUGUCAUACAAUCAUCUCCGGUACUUUUGUCACAAAACAAGCUCUCGGUCCUAGUUUGUUAACUCUAUUUUUUCAAAAGAUUUUUAUUUUCUAAAGAGAAAUUAGUUUAUUAGAAAAAUAGGGUUGUCAAACUAGCCUUCGUGAAUAUAAAUCCCACCCCCUCGGAGGAUGGUGGUGGAGUGUUAUAAAAAUCCACACGCGUGACGCGUGGCCGUCUUGGCAGAGUUAAUUUACCCGUGCUGCCAAAGUAAGCUGGCCAUGUGAGUUUAUGAUGAAGAUUGAUAGAUAAAGUACUCUAUGUUAUUGCAAGGCUAUAUAGAGCGAGGCAGCUGAAGAAAUGGGCAAAGCGAUAAGUCGGUGAGAUCUCCAAAUAUGCCACAGCUGGUCUAAUGCAUGUAUGCGACUGGGAGGCAUCCGGAACUUAGCUACUGCUUCAGCUUAAAUUUCAGAGGCAACAAUAUACGAAUCCAUCAUGUCCAAGUGCCACCAAAUUGCAGGUUCAUCCUCGUCGCGUCAAUGACUUAUGUGCUAUGUACACACAUAUCCAUUUCUCUCCUUCCUUACUCAGCAACCGGCAAGCGCCUCACAUUUACC